UCCCUGAUGGUCCAGUGGGUAAGACUCCAUACUCUCAAUGCAGAGGCCCAGGUUCAAUCCCUGGUCAGGGAA
rfam:Ovis aries breed Texel chromosome 10, whole genome shotgun sequence.